GACCGGAAGGGUUUCCUUCCGGUCAAUGAGGUACAUGUACCUCAUCGACCGGAAGGAAACCCUUCCGGUC
rnacentral:miRNA from 1 species